UGGGGUUGUGGCUCUGUGGUACAGUGCUCACCUAGCACGUGAGAGGCCUUGGGUUCAAUCCUUAGCACCACAA
rnacentral:tRNA from 1 species